rnacentral:rRNA from 1 species
CCUACGGGUGGCAGCAGUGGGGAAUAUUGGGCAAUGGGCGCAAGCCUGACCCAGCAACGCCGCGUGAAGGAAGAAGGCUUUCGGGUUGUAAACUUCUUUUCUCAGGGACGAAGAAAGUGACGGUACCUGAGGAAUAAGCCGCGGCUAACUACGUGCCAGCAGCCGCGGUAAUACGUCGGUGGCACGCGUUAUACGGAUAUGUUUGGUGUAAAGGGCGAGUAGGCGGGAGUGUAAGUCAGAUGUGAAAACUCCGGGGCUAAACCUGAGCAUGCAUUUGAAACUGGGUGGCUUGAGUGCUGGAGAGGCAAUCGGAAUUCCGUGUGAAGCGGUGAAAUGCGUAGAUAUACGGAGGAACACCAGUGGCGAAGGCGGAUUGCUGGAUAGAAACUGACGCUGAGGCGCGAAAGCGUGGGGAGCAAACAGGAUUAGAUACCCCGGUAGUC